AGUGAACGCUGGCGGUAGGCCUAACACAUGCAAGUCGAACGGCAGCACAGUAAGAGCUUGCUCGUACGGGUGGCGAGUGGCGGACGGGUGAGGAAUACAGCGGAAUCUACUUUUUCGUGGGGGAUUACGUAGGGAAACUUACGCUACUACGGCAUACGACCUACGGGUGAAAGCAGGGGAUCUUCGGACCUUGCGCGAUUGAAUGAGCCGAUGUCGGCUUAGCUAGUUGGCGGGGUAAAGGCCCACCAAGGCGACGAUCCGUAGCUGGUCUGAGAGGAUGAUCAGCCACACUGGAACUGAGACACGGUCCAGACUCCUACGGGAGGCAGCAGUGGGGAAUAUUGGACAAAGGGCGCAAGCCUGAUCCAGCCAUACCGCGUGGGUGAAGAAGGCCUUCGGGUUGUAAAGCCCUUUUGUUGGGAAAGAAAAGCAGCAGGUUAAUACCCCGCUGUUCUGACGGUACCCAAAGAAUAAGCACCGGCUAACUUCGUG
rnacentral:rRNA from 1 species